UGGCGGACGGGUGAGUAAAGUAUCGGAACGUGCCCAGUCGUGGGGGAUAACGUAGCGAAGGUUACGCUAAUACCGCAUACGAUCUAUGGAUGAAAGCGGGGGAUCGCAAGACCUCGCGCGAUUGGAGCGGCCGAUAUCAGAUUAGGUAGUUGGUGGGGUAAAGGCUCACCAAGCCGACGAUCUGUAGCUGGUCUGAGAGGACGACCAGCCACACUGGGACUGAGACACGGCCCAGACUCCUACGGGAGGCAGCAGUGGGGAAUUUUGGACAAUGGGCGCAAGCCUGAUCCAGCCAUGCCGCGUGCAGGAUGAAGGCCUUCGGGUUGUAAACUGCUUUUGUACGGAACGAAAAGGUUUGGCCUAAUACGCUGAACUCAUGACGGUACCGUAAGAAUAAGCACCGGCUAACUACGUGCCAGCAGCCGCGGUAAU
rnacentral:rRNA from 1 species